rnacentral:lncRNA from 1 species
ACUGUAUAUAUAUGUAUUUGAAGCCAGACCAGUUUUGCCUGUCUGCAGAAUCACGGGACAUGGAGUGCUGUAUUUCUCCCCAUCAUCAGGGUUGUGUGUGCACCCUUUCAAGAUCUGUGGCCUCUGCAAGUCUACAGGGAAAUCCUGCAGCUCUCAGGACAAGGAGCAGUGCUGUGGUGUUCCCAGGAAUGCUCUGCUGCCUUCCCCCCAAAAAGGGCUUUCCUUUUACUCUUGAGGACAUAACUCUGUCAGGAAGGAAUAGACAUUCUCCUCUUAACUGCUCUACUUGAUAUUCCAGAGGCAGCCACCUCCAGCAAGAGGUGAAGAAAACAACUGCAGGUAGUAAUGUCUUAAAUCCUCUGUUCUAAAACUUUGCACUAAAUCAGGGAAUUACGUUAUGUGCUGGCACCUCACUGUACAACUAAAAAGUUUUUCCCUUUUCUCCCUUUCUUACAGAUAGUAUAAGAGGGAAAUAUAGGGUUCUUUUUUCCUUAUGAGAUCCAUACACAUUCUUUCUAUUUGCAAUUUCACACACACACACACACAAAAUUUUUUUUUUGUAUUUUUUAUUUGUAUUUUUGAAAUUAAAACCAAGGUUGCUUUAUUCUAGCUGAGGAAUCCCUAACCUCAUUUUUCAACUGCCUUUCAAAAUCCAGCAAGUGUACUUUAGUCACCAGGGAGAGGUAACUGUCAGCUAUGUGGAUAUGGAGCCAGAAACAACAGCAUAAUUUAUGAUUGAACCUAAAACAAAUCACCCUGAUUUUUCCUUUUGCAGUUUUCAGCAGUUCAAUUGAUUUCAAUAUGGCAGCAAACCUCUCCCACCAUGCUUUAUGAUCACUUGUAUUUGAACAAAUUCCCUUUUUGUUCAUUGUGGAUGCUUUUUAUGCUCCAAUGCAGAUGUUUAAAAAGAUUUAUUUGGUUUCAUUUCAAAAGGGCACUAUUUAAAUUUUUGUAAAUUCAAUUGUACAAUGCAGAAUACCAGAUUUCAUUCAAAAGGAACCUGAUAUAAU